rnacentral:rRNA from 1 species
GACGAACGCUGGCGGCGUGCUUAACACAUGCAAGUCGAACGGAAAGGCCCCAGCUUGCUGGGCUACUCGAUUGGCGAACGGGUGAGUAACACGUGGGUGAUCUGCCCUGCACUUUGGUAUAAGCCUGGGAAACUGGGUCUAAUACCGUAUAGGACCGUUCCUUAGUGUGUGCGGUGGAAAGUUUUUCGGUUCAGGCUUGGCCCGCGGCCUAUCAGCUUGUUGGUGGGGUAAUGGCCUACCAAGGCGGCGACGGGUAGCCGGCCUGAGAGGGUGUACGGCGACAUUGGGCCUACGACACGGCGCAGACUCCUACGGGAGGCAGCAGUGGGGAAUAUUGCACAAUGGGCGCAAGCCUGAUGAAGAGACGCCGCGUGGGGGAUGCCCGCCUUCGGGUUGUAAACCCCUUUCGGCAGGGACGAAGCUUUUGUGACGGUACCUGAAGAAGAAGCACCGGCUAACUACGUG